CAGGCCUAACACAUGCAAGUCGCGGGAGAAACGUCCCUUCGGGGACAGAGUAAACCGGCGGACGGGUGAGUAACACGUGAGUAACAUACCGUUGAGACGGGGAUAACGAUCCGAAAGGGUUGCUAAUACCGGAUAAAACGACAGAGCCGGGAGGCUACUGUGGUCAAAGGUCCAAGCUACGCUCAACGAUUGGCUCGCGGCCCAUUAGGUAGAUGGUGAGGGUAACGGCCUACCAUGCCGACGAUGGGUAGCUGGUCUGAGAGGAUGAUCAGUCACACUGGGACUGAGACACGGCCCAGACUCCUACGGGAGGCAGCAGUGGGGAAUCUUGCACAAUGGGGGCAACCCUGAUGCGGCGACGCCGCGUGUGUGAAGAAGGCCUUCGGGUUGUAAAGCACUGUCAGGAGGGAAGAAACCGGGCGGGUCCCGUGUGACGGUACCUCCACAGGAAGCACCGGCCAACUCCGUGCCAGCAGCCGCGGUAAUACGGAGGGUGCAAGCGUUGUUCGGAAUCAUUGGGCGUAAAGCGUAGGUAGGCGGCCAGGCAAGUCUGGUGUGAAAGCCCAGAGCUCAACUCUGGAGGCGCAUUGGAAACUGUUUGGCUUGAGUCCGGGAAGGGCCAGUGGAGUUCGUGGUGUAGGGGUGAAAUCCGUAGAUAUCACGAAGUACACCGGCGGCGAAAGCGACUGGCUGGACCGGAACUGACGCUCAGCUACGAAUGCGUAGGUAGCGAACAGGAUUAGAUACCCUGGUAGUCUACGCUGUAAUCGAUGUUCACUAGCCGUUGCGUGGUUAAAUGCGCAGUGGUGCAGUUAACGCGCUAAGUGAACCGCCUGGGGAGUCGGCCGCAAGGUUAAAAC
rnacentral:rRNA from 1 species